GAUGAAGAACGCAGCGAAAUGCGAUACGUAAUGUGAAUUGCAGAAUUCAGUGAAUCAUCGAGUCUUUGAACGCACACUGCGCCCCCUGGUAUUCCGGGGGGCAUGCCUGUCCGAGCGUCAUUGCUGCCCUCAAGCCCGGCUUGUGUGUUGGGUCUCGUCCCCCUUCCCGGGGGGACGGGCCCGAAAGGCAGCGGCGGCACCGCGUCCGGUCCUCGAGCGUAUGGGGCUUUGUCACCCGCUCUGUAGGCCCGGCCGGCGCUUGCCGAUCAACCAAAACUUUUUUCCAGGUUGACCUCGGAUCAGGUAGGGAUACCCGCUGAACUUAAGCAUAUCAAUAAGCGGAGGA
rnacentral:misc_RNA from 1 species